CCUANGGGUGGCUGCAGUCGGGAAUUUUGCGCAAUGGGCGAAAGCCUGACGCAGCAACGCCGCGUGAGGGAUGAAGGCCUUCGGGUUGUAAACCUCUUUUCUCAGGGAAGAUAAUGACGGUACCUGAGGAAUAAGUCACGGCUAACUACGUGCCAGCAGCCGCGGUAAUACGUAGGUGGCAAGCGUUGUCCGGAUUUACUGGGCGUAAAGAGCGCGCAGGCGGUCGUUCAAGUCGAGUGUGAAAGCCCCCGGCUCAACUGGGGAGGGUCAUUCGAUACUGAUCGACUCGAAGGCAGGAGAGGGAAGCGGAAUUCCCGGUGUAGUGGUGAAAUGCGUAGAUAUCGGGAGGAACACCAGUGGCGAAGGCGGCUUUCUGGCCUGUUCUUGACGCUGAGGCGCGAAAGCUAGGGUAGCAAACGGGAUUAGAUACCCCUNUANUC
rnacentral:rRNA from 1 species